rnacentral:rRNA from 1 species
GACGUAGGGACCGAGCGUUGUCCGGAAUCAUUGGGCGUAAAGAGCGUGUAGGCGGCCCCUUAAGUCCUGCGUGAAAUCCUGCGGCUCAACCGCAGACGGUCGUGGGAAACUGGAGGGCUAGAGUGCGGGAGAGGAGAGUGGAAUUCCCGGUGUAGCGGUGAAAUGCGCAGAUAUCGGGAAGAACACCAGUGGCGAAGGCGGCUCUCUGGAACGACACUGACGCUGAGGCGCGAAAGCUAGGGGAGCAAACGGG